AUCGAACAAACAUGUUUCUCAGCAUGAUAUUUCAAACCCCACCUGUGUAUCUUACCUGUUGCUUCCGUGCUGCACAUGCUGCAAACGCGUGCCUUGUGGGUCCGGAGUAUCUAUCACUCUCAGGGCCCGUGGGAGCCGGCACGGGAGGUAAACCCACAAACUCUUGCCCUUGAAUGCCUUCCGUCUGAACUGUAGUACAUGAAAAGUUA
rnacentral:misc_RNA from 1 species